GACGUAGGGCGCGAGCGUUGUCCGGAAUUAUUGGGCGUAAAGAGCUCGUAGGCGGUUUGUCGCGUCUGCCGUGAAAGUCCGGGGCUCAACUCCGGAUCUGCGGUGGGUACGGGCAGACUAGAGUGAUGUAGGGGAGACUGGAAUUCCUGGUGUAGCGGUGGAAUGCGCAGAUAUCAGGAGGAACACCGAUAGCGAAGGCAGCUCGCUGGGACGGUACUGACGCUGAGGCGCGAAAGCGUGGGGAGCAAACGGG
rnacentral:rRNA from 1 species